rnacentral:rRNA from 1 species
GUCCAUGGCCACGCCACCCUGAACAAGCCCAAUCUCAUCUGAAGCUAAGCAGGGUCGGGCUUGGUUAGUACUUAGAUGGGAGACCAUCUAGAAAUACUGGGUGCUGUAGGAG